GGGUUGUGAGGUUAAGCGACUAAGCGUACACGGUGGAUGCCCUGGCAGUCAGAGGCGAUGAAGGACGUGCUAAUCUGCGAAAAGCGCCGGCGAGGUGAUAUGAACCUUUGACCCGGCGAUGUCCGAAUGGGGAAACCCAGUGUGUUCCGACACACUAUCGUUAACUGAAUACAUAGGUUAACGAGGCGAACCGGGGGAACUGAAACAUCUAAGUACCCCGAGGAAAAGAAAUCAACCGAGAUUCCCCCAGUAGCGGCGAGCGAACGGGGAGCAGCCCAGAGUCUGAAUCAGCUUGUGUGUUAGUGGAAGCGUCUGGAAAGUCGCACGGUACAGGGUGAUAGUCCCGUACACGAAAGCACACAUGCUGUGAACUCGAAGAGUAGGGCGGGACACGUGGUAUCCUGUCUGAAUAUGGGGGGACCAUCCUCCAAGGCUAAAUACUCCUGACUGACCGAUAGUGAACCAGUACCGUGAGGGAAAGGCGAAAAGAACCCCGGCGAGGGGAGUGAAAAAGAACCUGAAACCGUGUACGUACAAGCAGUGGGAGCCUCUUUUAUGGGGUGACUGCGUACCUUUUGUAUAAUGGGUCAGCGACUUAUAUUCUGUAGCAAGGUUAACCGUAUAGGGGAGCCGAAGGGAAACCGAGUCUUAACUGGGCGUUAAGUUGCAGGGUAUAGACCCGAAACCCGGUGAUCUAGCCAUGGGCAGGUUGAAGGUUGGGUAACACUAACUGGAGGACCGAACCGACUAAUGUUGAAAAAUUAGCGGAUGACUUGUGGCUGGGGGUGAAAGGCCAAUCAAACCGGGAGAUAGCUGGUUCUCCCCGAAAGCUAUUUAGGUAGCGCCUCGUGAACUCAUCUUCGGGGGUAGAGCACUGUUUCGGCUAGGGGGCCAUCCCGGCUUACCAACCCGAUGCAAACUACGAAUACCGAAGAAUGUUAUCACGGGAGACACACGGCGGGUGCUAACGUCCGUCGUGAAGAGGGAAACAACCCAGACCGCCAGCUAAGGUCCCAAAGUCAUGGUUAAGUGGGAAACGAUGUGGGAAGGCACAGACAGCCAGGAUGUUGGCUUAGAAGCAGCCAUCAUUUAAAGAAAGCGUAAUAGCUCACUGGUCGAGUCGGCCUGCGCGGAAGAUGUAACGGGGCUAAACCAUGCACCGAAGCUGCGGCAGCGACGCUUAUGCGUUGUUGGGUAGGGGAGCGUUCUGUAAGCCGUUGAAGGUGGCCUGUGAGGGUUGCUGGAGGUAUCAGAAGUGCGAAUGCUGACAUAAGUAACGAUAAUGCGGGUGAAAAGCCCGCACGCCGGAAGACCAAGGGUUCCUGUCCAACGUUAAUCGGGGCAGGGUGAGUCGACCCCUAAGGCGAGGCCGAAAGGCGUAGUCGAUGGGAAACAGGUUAAUAUUCCUGUACUUGGUGUUACUGCGAAGGGGGGACGGAGAAGGCUAUGUUAGCCGGGCGACGGUUGUCCCGGUUUAAGCAUGUAGGCGGAGAGUUUAGGUAAAUCCGGACUCUUUUUAACGCUGAGGUGUGAUGACGAGGCACUACGGUGCUGAAGUAACAAAUGCCCUGCUUCCAGGAAAAGCCUCUAAGCAUCAGGUAACAUCAAAUCGUACCCCAAACCGACACAGGUGGUCAGGUAGAGAAUACCAAGGCGCUUGAGAGAACUCGGGUGAAGGAACUAGGCAAAAUGGUGCCGUAACUUCGGGAGAAGGCACGCUGAUAUGUAGGUGAAGCCCCUGCGGGUGGAGCUGAAAUCAGUCGAAGAUACCAGCUGGCUGCAACUGUUUAUUAAAAACACAGCACUGUGCAAACACGAAAGUGGACGUAUACGGUGUGACGCCUGCCCGGUGCCGGAAGGUUAAUUGAUGGGGUUAGCGGCAACGCGAAGCUCUUGAUCGAAGCCCCGGUAAACGGCGGCCGUAACUAUAACGGUCCUAAGGUAGCGAAAUUCCUUGUCGGGU
rnacentral:rRNA from 1 species